rnacentral:rRNA from 1 species
AGUCGAGGGGCAGCAUGGUCUUAGCUUGCUAAGGCCGAUGGCGACCGGCGCACGGGUGAGUAACACGUAUCCAACCUGCCGUCUACUCUUGGACAGCCUUCUGAAAGGAAGAUUAAUACAAGAUGGCAUCAUGAGUCCGCAUGUUCACAUGAUUAAAGGUAUUCCGGUAGACGAUGGGGAUGCGUUCCAUUAGAUAGUAGGCGGGGUAACGGCCCACCUAGUCUUCGAUGGAUAGGGGUUCUGAGAGGAAGGUCCCCCACAUUGGAACUGAGACACGGUCCAAACUCCUACGGGAGGCAGCAGUGAGGAAUAUUGGUCAAUGGGCGAGAGCCUGAACCAGCCAAGUAGCGUGAAGGAUGACUGCCCUAUGGGUUGUAAACUUCUUUUAUAAAGGAAUAAAGUCGGGUAUGNAUACCCGUUUGCAUGUNCUUUAUGAAUAAGGAUCGGCUAACUCCGUGCCAGCAGCCGCGGUAAUACGGAGGAUCCGAGCGUUAUCCGGAUUUAUUGGGUUUAAAGGGAGCGUAGAUGGAUGUUUAAGUCAGUUGUGAAAGUUUGCGGCUCAACCGUAAAAUUGCAGUUGAUACUGGAUAUCUUGAGUGCAGUUGAGGCAGGCGGAAUUCGUGGUGUAGCGGUGAAAUGCUUAGAUAUCACGAAGAACUCCGAUUGCGAAGGCAGCCUUGCUAAGCUGCAACUGACAUUGAGGCUCGAAAGUGUGGGUAUCAAACAGGAUUAGAUACCCUGGUAGUCCACACGGUAAACGAUGAAUACUCGCUGUUUGCGAUAUACGGCAAGCGGCCAAGCGAAAGCGUUAAGUAUUCCACCUGGGGAGUACGCCGGCAACGGUGAAACUCAAAGGAAUUGACGGGGGCCCGCACAAGCGGAGGAACAUGUGGUUUAAUUCGAUGAUACGCGAGGAACCUUACCCGGGCUUAAAUUGCAGAUGAAUUACGGUGAAAGCCGUAAGCCGCAAGGCAUCUGUGAAGGUGCUGCAUGGUUGUCGUCAGCUCGUGCCGUGAGGUGUCGGCUUAAGUGCCAUAACGAGCGCAACCCUUGUUGUCAGUUACUAACAGGUUCCGCUGAGGACUCUGACAAGACUGCCAUCGUAAGAUGUGAGGAAGGUGGGGAUGACGUCAAAUCAGCACGGCCCUUACGUCCGGGGCUACACACGUGUUACAAUGGGGGGUACAGAGGGCCGCUACCACGCGAGUGGAUGCCAAUCCCAAAAACCUCUCUCAGUUCGGACUGGAGUCUGCAACCCGACUCCACGAAGCUGGAUUCGCUAGUAAUCGCGCAUCAGCCACGGCGCGGUGAAUACGUUCCCGGGCCUUGUACACACCGCCCGUCAAGCCAUGGGAGCCGGGGGUACCUGAAGUGCGAACCCGCGAGGAG